rnacentral:rRNA from 1 species
UUAAAUUGAAGAGUUUGAUCAUGGCUCAGAUUGAACGCUGGCGGCAGGCCUAACACAUGCAAGUCGAACGGUAACAGGAAGCAGCUUGCUGCUUCGCUGACGAGUGGCGGACGGGUGAGUAAUGUCUGGGAAACUGCCUGAUGGAGGGGGAUAACUACUGGAAACGGUGGCUAAUACCGCAUAACGUCGCAAGACCAAAGAGGGGGACCUUCGGGCCUCUUGCCAUCAGAUGUGCCCAGAUGGGAUUAGCUUGUUGGUGAGGUAACGGCUCACCAAGGCGACGAUCCCUAGCUGGUCUGAGAGGAUGACCAGCCACACUGGAACUGAGACACGGUCCAGACUCCUACGGGAGGCAGCAGUGGGGAAUAUUGCACAAUGGGCGCAAGCCUGAUGCAGCCAUGCCGCGUGUAUGAAGAAGGCCUUCGGGUUGUAAAGUACUUUCAGCGGGGAGGAAGGUGUUGUGGUUAAUAACCACAGCAAUUGACGUUACUCGCAGAAGAAGCACCGGCUAACUCCGUGCCAGCAGCCGCGGUAAUACGGAGGGUGCAAGCGUUAAUCGGAAUUACUGGGCGUAAAGCGCACGCAGGCGGUCUGUCAAGUCGGAUGUGAAAUCCCCGGGCUCAACCUGGGAACUGCAUUCGAAACUGGCAGGCUUGAGUCUUGUAGAGGGGGGUAGAAUUCCAGGUGUAGCGGUGAAAUGCGUAGAGAUCUGGAGGAAUACCGGUGGCGAAGGCGGCCCCCUGGACAAAGACUGACGCUCAGGUGCGAAAGCGUGGGGAGCAAACAGGAUUAGAUACCCUGGUAGUCCACGCCGUAAACGAUGUCUACUUGGAGGUUGUGCCCUUGAGGCGUGGCUUCCGGAGCUAACGCGUUAAGUAGACCGCCUGGGGAGUACGGCCGCAAGGUUAAAACUCAAAUGAAUUGACGGGGGCCCGCACAAGCGGUGGAGCAUGUGGUUUAAUUCGAUGCAACGCGAAGAACCUUACCUGGUCUUGACAUCCACAGAACUUUCCAGAGAUGGACUGGUGCCUUCGGGAACUGUGAGACAGGUGCUGCAUGGCUGUCGUCAGCUCGUGUUGUGAAAUGUUGGGUUAAGUCCCGCAACGAGCGCAACCCUUAUCCUUUGUUGCCAGCGGUUAGGCCGGGAACUCAAAGGAGACUGCCAGUGAUAAACUGGAGGAAGGUGGGGAUGACGUCAAGUCAUCAUGGCCCUUACGACCAGGGCUACACACGUGCUACAAUGGCGCAUACAAAGAGAAGCGACCUCGCGAGAGCAAGCGGACCUCAUAAAGUGCGUCGUAGUCCGGAUUGGAGUCUGCAACUCGACUCCAUGAAGUCGGAAUCGCUAGUAAUCGUGGAUCAGAAUGCCACGGUGAAUACGUUCCCGGGCCUUGUACACACCGCCCGUCACACCAUGGGAGUGGGUUGCAAAAGAAGUAGGUAGCUUAACCUUCGGGAGGGCGCUUACCACUUUGUGAUUCAUGACUGGGGUGAAGUCGUAACAAGGUAACCGUAGGGGAACCUGCGGUUGGAUCACCUCCUUACCUUAAAGAA